rnacentral:lncRNA from 1 species
AAAAAAAGUAAACAAGUUAAGAAUUCAUUCAAUUUAAAACUUUUCCACUCAUUUGAUGAGGGUGCCGCUUCAGAAUUGAUUUUCUGAUAUAUAAUUCUUUAGAUUAUUAGGCCGAUAAGUACAAAAUUAAUACAAGAUUUUGUGUUAUACUCCAAAACUUGCCACUUAGUACCGGAAAAUUUUGAGGUCGAUCGUCCUCUGUCGCCCCAUUCUCACGAUAUUGAACUGUUUUUCAUUAUUUUUCCAGACACGUUUUUAGAUUAUUAGAGUGUGGCAUCAUAUUUACUGAAAUUUGUUGUCAAAAAGAUGUUUUUUAAAGAAUACGGACAAAAACAUUGUUUGUUUAUUGUACGGC